GCGCUCGCUUCGGCAGCACAUACACUAAAAUUGAAACGAUACAGAGAAGGUGAGCACGGCCCCUGCGCAAGGACGACACGCGAAUUCGUGAAGCGUUCUAGCUGUAA
ensembl:snRNA U6 U6 spliceosomal RNA